rnacentral:rRNA from 1 species
AUACGUAGGGGGCGAGCGUUGUCCGGAAUGAUUGGGCGUAAAGGGCGCGUAGGCGGCCCGGUAAGUCUGGAGUGAAAGUCCUGUUUUCAAGGUGGGAAUUGCUUUGGAUACUGCCGCGCUUGAGUGCAGGAGAGGUUAUCGGAAUUCCCGGUGUAGCGGUGAAAUGCGUAGAGAUCGGGAGGAACACCAGUGGCGAAGGCGGGUAACUGGACUGCAACUGACGCUGAGGCGCGAAAGUGUGGGGAGCAAACAGGAUUAGAUACCCUGGUAGUCCACACUGUAAACGAUGAAUGCUAGGUGUAAGAGGUAUCGACCCCUUUUGUGCCGGAGUCAACACAAUAAGCAUUCCGCCUGGGGAGUACGGCCGCAAGGUUGAAACUCAAAUGAAUUGGCGGGG